UGGGGAUGACGUCAAAUCAUCAUGCCCCUUAGUAUCCCGGGCUACACACGUGCUACAAUGGCCGGUACAAAGGGAGGGCGAACCCGCGAGGGGGAGCAAAUCCCGUCAAAGCCGGUCACAGUUCGGAUUGCAAGCUGCAACUCGCCUGCAUGAAGUCGGAAUCGCUAGUAAUCGCGGAUCAGCAUGCCGCGGUGAAUACGUUCCCGGGCCUU
rnacentral:rRNA from 1 species